UGUGGGGGAACGGGAGAGAAAAUCAGAAACUGACUGGAGUUAGGUAUUUAUAAUUGCAGUAUUUUCUUCAUCUCACCCACACACACAUGUAUGUAGAUAGACAGAUAGAAAUGCUGCCAAAUGUGUAAGAAGUUCUCUUCCUAACCAUGAAGUCUUGGGUUCGAUCAUAGUGAGCAGUAUGAUACUGAGGUCAUUUGAAACUGUUAAGUUGAAUAAGAACAAAAUCGAAUUGCAAAUCAAUAUCGUUAAAAUGACAUCAUACAAACGGGCUUUUCUCAGGCUUGGAAGAGAAGAGUAUCUUUGGACACUCGCCUGACUGGUGCCAAAUGUUGCCAUCCAGCCAAUCGUUGCUCCACAGAGUAGAUUCCAAAAUGUAUGUCGAAUGGUCGGAUCUACACGAAAUCUGAAAACGGUGAAAUGUUAUAAUCCUUUAUUCAUUUCGUUGUGUCAAAAAUUAGCAGGAGAUAUAUUAAUGAAUAUUAAGAAAGGCCGCAAACAGAGAACUGGAGGCUGCGAAGUGAGUCAAGAAAAAUAUGGGAGUGGUGGUGGAUUUCUGUCGUUUGACAAGGAGGAUUCAGUUGUUUGAGCAACCGAAUUAUGUGUUCCUGAAUUAACGAGUAAGUGGCCAGCCAGUACAUGGACAUGUGUUCCCUUGACAUAGUUCUCAGUUAGAAUCAGCGUCACACAUUGUGUAUAUAAUGAGGCUGUACAUUUCGAAUAAAGGGUGAAAUCCAGCCGACGGGAUUCUACAGUUUACGUCUGUCCAAUAUCACUCAAAAAACAAGGGUCCAAGAGGCCAUUCAAUGGAACCGAAGCCGGGCCCCAGAGUUGCGAAUGUCUUAAUUGUUCAGCCAUAUUGCGCUCAACGAUUGGUAAAAUAAGCACCAGCCAAACACUGGGAUCGAUGUAAUCGGUUUUCCCCUCCCACUGAAAUUGCUGACCUCGCGCCGAAGUUUGAAGCAAUUAUAUAUAACAAUGUAUACAGCAUGACGUGAAGGCAUAUGGCCUAGUGGUUAGAGCAGCGGAGUUGCGGUCGCGGGUUCGAAUCUCAGACCGGGCGAUGUGUGUGUUUAAGAGCGAAACACCUAAGCUCUACGCGGCUCCGGCAGAAGGUAAUGGCAGAAAUUCUGCUAACUCUUUCUCUCACUUUUUCCUCCUGCAUCUAGCAGCUCACCUGCGACGGACCGGCGUCCCAUCUAGGUGCGGAACCUAUACGCCAGUGAAACAAGAGAAACCGGCUUUUAUGAGCCAGCCUUGUCUCGAGAAGGAACAAACAACAAUAUACAGCAUAACAAAUACCACUUUACAUAUAUACAUUAUAUCCAAAAUUGUAUAUACAUUACACAAUUAUAUAUGCAACAUUAUAUUGGUUUGUUAGAUAAGUUCGUCCGUUUCUUUCACAUGUUAACUGAAUUAGCAUGAAAAAUAUUUUUUGUAGUGUUUUAGGGAAUUGAUCCAGCAGAUGAGAUACUCUCAUGUCCCCUGUCUCCAUCACAGGAUGGGUAAGGUCCAACAACUUGAUGCAUGGAUACUACACACUCUGAACAAAUGAAAUGAACUCCAACGAUCUUCUAUCAUAGCCAGUUUGCUCAAUUCACUCCAAGCUAUUCGUUGACACAGAAAUUUCUUUGCUACAUCGUCACCGGCGAUGGAAAAUUGUAUCUAUCUCAAUACGAAGUAAAGGAAGCAACACCUCGAAUCAAGCGAGAGCUGCAUCCUUGCAUGACAAUAAGCUGUGCCUGAUGGGAAUGAGAAGGACCAUUGUUGAACAGAAAAACAGCAAUGGGGCAGGUGCACAAAAUACCAGUUAAUGAUCGUCUUGAGAAAUUGCAGGAAGUGAUCGACAAAUGUAUGCGUGGGUCGAGGAUCGAAAAGCGUACGACCUAGUUCUACACAUAAGACUCAAGCUACGCCUAGAACUAUUGAAGGUCUCGGAAAAAUCUUAGGUGCCCAUUAUAAAAUGCAGUGCGACAUUGGUGAGUAGAUUUAGCGCAAAGAAAUUAAAGAUAAGCAAAUAUACAGAUCAAAAGAGGAACCUUUCAAAGGGACAGCUUCUCUCCAACCUAGUUUAUAAUCGCCUUUAUUCCUUUGUUGAUCCUAUUAAGCAAAACUAAGGAAGGAUAUUCACUCAAAAGCAAUUUUAAAAGAAAUACAGGAAAAGUGAAUUAUCUAUUUAUGGAUACUGUAAAGUUUUAUAGUAAAGACAAGAUCCCAACAGGAUUCUUUUUUUACAAAUUGUAAGAAUGUUUAAUAACGACAUCAGGGUAGCUUUCGAAAUCGAAAGAUGUGUUAUGAAAACUAUGAGCCGGUGAAAACCCAUAAAAAGUACUUGAAUAGAUCAAUCUAUUGAGAAUUUAAAAUCAUUAAAUGUAGAACAAACAAAUAUGUAGGAAUGCUGGAAAACGACAUCUUCGGCAAAUAAUAUUUUUGCGAAAUGCAUAAGAUACUAAAAUCCAAAGUGAAUUCGAGAAAUAUCCCACAAGCAAUAAACUUGAGGGAUGUUAUGACUGAUAUGGAACUGUUGUUAUUGAAUGCAGAAAGAAUGAACUGAAGGAAACAGACAGAAAAACGAAAGUAAGCUCGCAAUGCAGAGGUGCAUGUAUCCCUAAUCUGAUGUGGAGUAGUUAUACUGGGAAAGUGCAAAAGAAGAGAGAAGGUUAAUGCGUGUCAAAGAGGUAGCUUAAACAGAGAAGACCAGUCUAGGUUCAGAUAAAGAAGGAAAAAGAAGAAGCAAUUAAUAAGGGAAGAAAUAUGUACAUAAUUUGUAGAAACGAAAAGACAAAACAGGAAAAUCUGAAAAAGAGGAAAUCAAACUUUGAAGAUAAGGAGACUCAGUGUUUUCCAAAAAUACGAAAGCGAAAUGGGACAGCAAUAGCUCCUAGUUAUGGCUAAAGAAAAGGGUGUUGCAGUAAGAAACUGAGGAAAUGCACUCGUUAGAACAGGAACAAUGUGUAAGGAUAAACUGACCCAAACAGACAAUAGCAAUUUUUAGGGGAGCGGGUGGUCGAUUACAUUAAGCUCAGUAUUUGACAGGUACUUUUACUAGGUAUCGUGUUGCUAUUUCUAGCAGCAAAAACCAAAGGUUCGUUCUGUUGUUUGACGGAUUAUUAUUAUUAUUAUUAUCAUCAUUAUUAUUGUUGUUGUCCUGAAAUUUUGGGAUGGAGGAUAAUCUAUUACAUCGAGCCCCAGUGCUUGACUGGUAAUCUAUUAAGUAAUCUAUCGAACCCGAAAGGAUGACAGGCAAAGUUGACUUCUACGGAACUUGAAAUCAGAACGUGAAGACUGACUAAAUGUUCCUAAGCAUUUUGUCCAGCGUGCUAACGAUUCUGUCAGCUCGCUGCCUUAAUAAUAAUCCUUUCUACUAUAGGCACAAGGUCUGAAAUUUGGCGGAGGAGGCUAGUUGAUUACCUUGACCCAGUGUUCAACAGGUAUUUAUUUUAUCGACCUCGAAAAGAUGAAAGACAAAAUUGACCUCGGCGGAAUUUGAACUCAAAACAAAGACGGACGAAAUGCCGCUAAGUAUUUUGUCCAUCGCGCUUAACGAUUCUGUUAGCUCGCCGUCUAGAUAAUAAUAAUAAUAUUCAGGGACCUUUUGAGCUAGAUGGGUUACUCGACCUGAAGAAAAUUCUAACUGGGCCCUAUCUGCGAGGUCAUGCGCUGUUUAUCUUGAUAUGAGAUCACCAUGUCGUGCACAUAUGGUUGAGAUGCAUGUGCCUGGUGUACUCUUAUCAGACGGGUAGUCAUAAUGGGUAUAAUGGGCUUCGUAUAUUUUACCCCGGUGUCACUUUGAUGGCAUACACUGCUCUCUCACUCAAUAAUAAUAAUAAUAACAACAACAACAUUCGUAUCAGAAGUACAAGGCCACACAUUUUGCGACAGAUUAAACUGACUCCUCUGUUGAUUCUAGUAAAAUUAUAAAAAAAGAUCUUAUACUUACUUCGUAUGAACUGG